CUUGCCGGCACUGUGGCUGCGGCUGCCCUGUUGCACCCGUGACACAGGGGCAGAGAGAAAGUGGCGAUUUCUAUGCUCAGUGCUCAGAACAUUAGGCGCUAAGAGUGAACUGCAGGCGGACUUC
ensembl:snoRNA Small nucleolar RNA SNORA17